AAAUAGUUAUUAAAGGAAACAUUCAAACAAAUCCUAGUGGACUAAAAGCCAAUGUACCAAAGCAGUAAACAUUGGCCAUUAUAUCUCUCAUUUAUUCAUAAAUACACCAGACGUUUGGAAAACAAUCAGUGGUU